rnacentral:tRNA from 1 species
GUUAAUGUAGCUUAAUUUUAAAGCAAAGCACUGAAAAUGCUUAGAUGGUUCAUAGUAUAACCCAUAAACA